UGAGUAACGCGUAUGCGACCUGCCCGUUGCAGGGGGAUAAUCGGGAGAAAUCCCGUCUAAUACCGCGUAACGCCGCGGGGCUGCAUGGCCCUGCGGCCAAAGGGAGCGAUUCCGGCAACGGAUGGGCAUGCGUGACAUUAGCUAGUUGGCGGGGCAACGGCCCACCAAGGCGACGAUGCGUAGGGGUUCUGAGAGGAAGGUCCCCCACACUGGUACUGAGACACGGACCAGACUCCUACGGAAGGCAGCAG
rnacentral:rRNA from 1 species